rnacentral:lncRNA from 1 species
UAUACUGUUUGAUAUUCUAGAGUUAGUUGGCAGAGAAUAAUCAAGUGGUUACGUUAAUCAAUCAAAUUCUACAGUAUUACAUGUAACAUAAAAAUAAUGUGUAAUCAGAUUCUAACACCUUCAAAUAAUAGUAGCUGUCAAGUUGACUUCGAUAAAUUUUUAUUGCAAAAAAGGGAUCUUGAGAAAAGAAAACUCAAGUUAACUAUUGUGCAAAAUACAAAGAGACCUGAUAAUGAGAUAUUAAAUUUUGAUAGUGAUAUCAUUGAAUUAAAUGCACUUGCAUAUGUAAUAGGCUGGGUUUGGAACCUAUUACAAAUAUAACUUUUUACAUUACAUUACAUUACAUUUACAUUGAGAGAAUUUCUACAAAAGAGGAUACAUGUGAUCUUGAAAAUUUCCACAUUUCAAUGAAAACAUUUGAUAAUGCAAGAUAUAUAUUUCCCAAUCAAUGUGCACUUAAUAUUAGCAUUAUUAUAA